rnacentral:rRNA from 1 species
AGUGAACGCUGGCGGUAGGCCUAACACAUGCAAGUCGAACGGCAGCACAGUAAGAGCUUGCUCUUACGGGUGGCGAGUGGCGGACGGGUGAGGAAUACAUCGGAAUCUACUUUUUCGUGGGGGAUAACGUAGGGAAACUUACGCUAAUACCGCAUACGACCUACGGGUGAAAGCAGGGGAUCUUCGGACCUUGCGCGAUUGAAUGAGCCGAUGUCGGAUUAGCUAGUUGGCGGGGUAAAGGCCCACCAAGGCGACGAUCCGUAGCUGGUCGGAGUGGCUGAUCAGCCACACUGGAACUGAGACACGGUCCAGACUCCUACGGGAGGCAGCAGUGGGGAAUAUUGGACAAUGGGCGCAAGCCUGAUCCAGCCAUACCGCGUGGGUGAAGAAGGCCUUCGGGUUGUAAAGCCCUUUUGUUGGGAAAGAAAAGCAGCAGGUUAAUACCCCGCUGUUCUGACGGUACCCAAAGAAUAAGCACCGGCUAACUUCGUG